UGUUUGUCGAGCUGAUCAGUACCACAAUGAGUAAAACGGUGGUCUCAUAAUUUUAUCGCUGGAUUACGUGUUUCAAAUCCUCUCACCGUACUUGAAAAAUACGUGUUUUUUAUUUCGGCCUGCACGUUUCUUUUUACUGUCUGUAGAUGAUAUUUACAUGGAUAUAGACUUUAAGUAGUGAUGCCGACGUUUUUCGGUGAGGUCUUCUUUAUCUGGUAUCUUUAUUUCACGUAAAUCCAGGUCUGAUCGUGACGAAUCUGCGGACGAAACAUCUGGAGACGGAAACUAUCGCCAGUUAACCUGAUCACCAGUUAAACUGGAACAACGGGUCGCCAUGCAGGCUUCGUUGUACGAUGCAGAGGUGAUCCAGACUUCCCAACAUUCCUACAUUACCACUGCAUCAUUCACCAGCAGGCCAUAUGUAUGUACAAAAGUGGCCGGAUUUGAUCAUGUGAUGACUGGUGUCGUGAAGAUCAUAAAUGGCUCCAAAGCCAAACUACCAGGACAUUGAAGGUGCUGCUGGAGGAGCUGUCAGCUGAACAUAGUGAUCUGUUACUACACACAGAAACCCCAUGGAUCAGCAGGGGAACAGUUUUGCAGCGUUUUUUGUCACUGUUGGCCGAAAUCAGAGAGUUGAUGCAAUCCAAUAGGGGAAGACACCUUGCUGCUUGAGGACACGGAGUGGAUUCUUGCCCUUGCAUUUUUAACAGACAUCACUGGGAAACUGAACCAUCUGAACUGUGAGCUGCAAAGUAAAGGCAUUCCAGGGCCUGCUGCCAAGAAGAAUCCCCACAUCCGGAUGAUGCCACCACCAUGCUUCAAGAUUGAUGAAGAAGCCAUGCAUGCUGUGGAGGAGAAUCUGAAGGCUCAAGAUGUGACCUUCUUAAUGAAGAGACAGUGAAGCUUGAACAUCGGUGCAUUAAAGUUAAAGGAGACUGCUGAAAAAUAACGCAAGAACACUCUUUCUCAGGUAAGGUUUUCUUGUAAGGCUGAGAACUUUUCCAAGUACCUUCAGAAUCAGUGACCCAAAGCUUGGUUCAGGAAUCCUUGUUCAAAAUGUCUUUGUGUGGCAACCUGAGGAACCAGAUUUGAAUCAUGCUGCAAGUCUCUGGUGGGUAUCAAAGAAAUUAGGGGGAGCACUGAAACUAAAGAAUUAAAGCUGGAAACCUUUACAAAUGAGAGGUCAGAAGUUUGUGAGGAACUACUAGAAACACUCUAGUGUCUAAAUGUUUGACUGCUUAAUGGAAGUUAAUUGGCUUGAAUGUUCCGAAACUUUCCCUUGACUGAAUAGGUCAAACAUUGAGGGCCUUAAAUGUAUUUUUAAUAUCAAUUUUGAAAUCCCAGAUCCUCCUUUCAUUUACUUUUUAAAAGAAAAAUUCCAUCUGCUUAUUACCAGUCUUGUAAAACAGAGAGAAUACAUUGUAUGCACUAGAUUUCAAAAGGAGUUUUCAAGAAAUAUUCAGCGGUACCUCAAACUGCAACCCAGUAUGUUCCUCUACAACUAAAUUGCAUUUUCAAAUAUGUUUUGAAAGAAAGAUAAUUGUGUUUUCAAAUAAAUAGAAUUUGUAAAUGUGCUAUGGUGGGAAAGGGGCCAGUUUGAACAAGCAAUGCUUGGGGAAUAAACCAGCAACUGCACUUUUACAUAGAAGAGCAAAGUUCAUGUCCUGUAAUGGACAUGAUACCAUCAGUCUAAGAAUUAAGUUUUGUUGGUUUGUUGUUGUUUUUGGUUGUUCUGUUGGUCUUUACUCUCUUUCUGACUAUGUUUACCAUAAACCAACACUUAAACUAUGUGAUUCGAUUGUUGGACACUGAAAUGUUAGAGGCUUGAUUAAGGUUAGGCGCCAAAAUUUGGUUUUAGGUAAAAUGUCAUUAUCUAGGUUAAAACACAAGCCUUUCACUACAAGUUUGGAGCAUCACCUUAAUUUUCUGGAUUACCAUCGAAUAUAUGAUUGGCUGGCUGAAAGAGGCAACACUUAAGUAGUAAAAUAAAUUCAAUUAAAAAGACUUUAUUUGUCCCCUUGAGGCAAUUCAAGGCACGUAGAGCAGUUGGACACAGAACAAUAUCAACCGUACAAUAGCAGCAGUAAAAAUGGCAAUUAUACUGUAUGUUGUUUGGAAAUAUAUUUGUGAUAUAAUACAAACUAACCUAAUCCUGCAGAAAAUAUGUUUCUUUUAAAACAUAAUUUAGAAUGCAGCUUAGUUGCUUAGGAUGUAGUUUUGUGGAGACUGGGCUGCAAAGGUGGUGGAUAUUAUUAAAUAAUCUCAAUUGGGGUUGAAAAUCGGGUUUUUGAAGAAAUAUUCUCUUAUUCAUCUUUAAUACAAUCAGUAGAUUAAAUAUUAUGUACUUAGAAAAACUCCAAUAUGCUUAUUUUUGACUUCUAAACAAGCUUUUAGUUUCUAUAUUUUAUUCAUAACAGUAGAAUACUUUGCAUGUUAAGGCCAUUGUCUAAAUUUGAUUGCAACAGUCGAUAUAUUAGACAGUUAAGGGACAAAUCUCAGAGCAAGAAAAGGAACUGGAUUCAAAUACAUCUCAAAAUUUCAGUAUCAGCUUUAAAAUUCUUGUCACCAAGAAUGAAGUAAAAAUAUUACGAACACAUUUCUCUAUUAGACAAGUGACAAACUUUUUUUUAUCAGCAUCUGUUAACCUGACAAUAGUUUCUGUAUUUGCACCACAAAUGGGUGGAGGCCUAACAGAAAGGAAAUCAGCCACAGUUCCCUAUUUUCUGCUGCGCAUGUUUAGCUGGCAACAGCAAAUAAAACAGGAGUUUUUGCUUGAAGUUUUCUCUAGCGUGAAGGUGUGGGAGAAAUUUUGUUUAAGCCACAGGGACUGAUGAUACAAAUAGAAAUUUCAUGUAACCAUUACAUACAUUGCAGGGGUAUGCGGGUGUAUUAUACAUUUCGUAGCAUACAAGCUUCCUGUCAGUAAUUAACUCCGCAAAGGCGAAGCCAAAGUUGUAUCAAAGCCUGUCAUGGCUGGUUCACUUCUUGUGUGUAUUCUAGGUUUGCAUCAGCCCCAGCUGUUCUGCAUCUCCUUGAUUAAUCCCCAGCUGCUGCUCAUUGCUCCAGAGGAUUUAGGGCAGCGACUCCAGCUCCCCUUUUUUAGUUUGUCAAUUUGUCUUGUUGCGCUGACAACGGGUGCGAUAGUUUGAAUCUCCACCUUGAAAUCCCAACUUACCUUUGAAUUAUUUCCAGUGUUUGCCGCUGUGUGGUUUUUCCCCUCCCACUCAUUUUCACUUCCCCUGGUUGUGUCCACAUCCUGCCUGCCCCAUUGUCCACCAGUCUCCAGUUUGCACUCCUCAGUCACCUGCCAGCCUUUAUCACCAGCUGGUAUUCUCUUGACUCAAGCUUGCACUCUUCAGUUGCCGACAGUCUUUCCCAGCAGUGUGUUCACUCCUCUUUGCCUUCAGCCAGAAUCCCCCCCCCACCGCCCUGCUGCCUGCUGAUCUCCUGCUGCUUAGUCCCAGUUAUUCAUUGCCUUGAAAGUGACUCUGUCCCUGCAGUUGAAUCCAGUUUUUGAAAAGCCCUUUUCCAGUAAAAAUGACCAAACUGGAAAAUCAAAGAGUACAAUUUCAAACUCGCUAAAAAUGCAUUUAAAAAGGUGGCUAUGGUUAUUAUGUCACAAAUAAUUUCAUAUGUAUAAGUGUAUAUUGGGUGUUUUUUUUUUUUUUUUAGAUGAUCUCUCUGGGAAGGUGGAGGCUUUUACCGAUUGGCCGAACAUUAUAGAUUUUAUCCACUCCACCACCUGCAAAAUAAGAUAAAAGCUUCAAAAUGUUCCUCUUUAAUCAUGCCUCCAAACAGUUAAAGCAAAAACUGAACAUUUAAAACCCUGACCUGCAGAGCUACUGUUUUAAAGUCCAUUCAUUUAGCAAGGUGUAGCUCAUAACUGGCAAUCUGGCAACUGAGUGUAUUAAUCACAACUGCAAACACAAUGGUGUAUUGUAAUAAAUGCAUUAAGAGGUCAAAUGUUUGACUGCUUAAUGAAUGUUAAUUGGCUUGAAUGAUCUGAAGCUUUCCCUUGACUGAAUAGGUCAAACAUGGAGGGCCUUAAAUGUAUUUUUAAUAUCAAAUUUGGCAUCCCAAGAGCCCCCUUUCAUUUAAUUCUUAAAAGUAAAAUCUCAUCAGCUUAUUAAGAGCUUUGUAAAACAGAGAGAAUAUGUUGUAUGCACUAGAUUUUAAAGGGAGUUUUCAAGAAGUCACAAGCAAAGUGCAUCAGCAAGCCCAAGUUAUUUUCCUAUUUAUUUACUCUACACCUUCAAUGUGAAAAUAAGUGACAGAUGAACUGAUAAAUGAUAAACGAACUGACACCUUUAGUUAAAUCAUUUGUGAUUUGCUCAAUAGUUUCUGUUCGGAGAGUUGUUAGAAACCAGUUUACCAAAGAAGAGAACAUACUGUAUUAUCACCAGUUUCACCUUUGCUACUGUCACAUAAUAGUGUAAUCUGUCCGGAGGUGGAGAAAGUAAUAUGGCCACAUAUCUCAGGAGGUUUCAAAAUACUGUUCCUCUGAAAUCCCAGAAUUGGACUGAUUUCAUGGCGCGUCACCCCAGAUAUGCCAAUGGAGCGUGAAAUUGAGUCACUCUAUGUGAAAAAAGUGAAGAAAAAAUCUGUUCUCUUCCCAUUUCUCUGCAGAGAAGAGUGCCGACUUUUUUGCCCGUAUGCUGGCACCGCUUUGGUCUUUCAUUUUCAAAGCAACUGAGUGAAACAAGUCUGUACAUUCCAGACAAAAACAGUCAUUUCACAUAAUGCGAAUGACAUUUUGCUGCAAAUCGGCAACACGUGAGAGUUACAAGUGUUAGUCAUGAAACAUGUGGUGGGGAAAAGAUGUCUCAGUUGAUGGAUGAAUUUGAUAAUGGGGGUAACAUACUGCAACAGGUGUGAUCAAAAGUGCAUUUUGUUGCUGAACAAUAUGUUCUAAUGAACCAGAUGUCAUCAUUUUCACAGCCAGGUGUAUUGAAGUGCGUAAGAUACUUGUGGAAUUUACACUCUGUGCCUCAUACUGUUACACCCUUUUCUGCUCUUUGUGUGAGUUUCUCCCAUGAGGACUGUGUGUAUUUCAGCCCCAGUGGUGAGUAGAAAUGCUUUUGCAGCCCCACCAGAGCUUUGAUAUUCAACUUAUUCUCAACAUAGGCACAGUGUUGCCAAAGGUAUUUUGCGAGGCACUUCCAGUUCACUUCAUCUACAGACUGCUUGUAGCUAGUUUAAAGUUUAAAAGUGGAGGGAUUUUGCCACCUUCUUGUAAAAAUAUCAAACAGAUUUAAGAUGCAUUUUCUGAUACGUGAACUCCUGGCCACCAUACUUCCACUAGAUUUAUUGGUUGCAUUUUGACAUGUGGCUGAUCUCUCACCCUUCAUGGUAUAUCACUAUUGAUAUGAAGUGAUAGAAGUCCAAACUGUUAUUCACACAUGUUGAAGAGCCCAGAGCUGGCAUCAAGACCUCAGCCAACUAGCAAUACAUUCUUGACACUUCAUCUGUCAAAUGUCAGGCACUUGUCCAAAGCAUAAAAACACAAGUGAUGAGCUGCAAAAUGUACUUUAAUAUGACCUAUAAGAAGCACCUUCUGUAAUCAGGUUGCUUCCAAAUGGCUUUUCUAUCGCCCAUAGUGGUUUAUAAUGGAACUAAUGCAUGAUGUAAAUUGUUGUCAAAUAAGUAUGUUAAAAAAAAAAAAAGAUCCAGUUUCAAACAAAAACCUGCCAAAGUUGUUGAGCUGGGAGAAAGCAGCUCAUGCAGACUGUGCAGAAGGAGGAGGAGGAGGGAAAAAAGCUUUCUCGUACCAUUCAUUGUCCCUCAGCCUCAAAGAAAACAGAUGGUAUUGGUACUUUUGAAAAUGAAGGAGAGAUGGCAAAAAGCACAAAGUCAGAUACAUUAGUGAACAUACAAAGCAGUGGCACAGUAAUUGUUUUUGGCAGCGUAUUUUGGUACACUUUAAAAGUCUGAUCUUUUUCCUUUUUCGGGGCAUGACACAGCGAUUUAAUUAAGGAAAUAAACAAGGCAGCAAGUACAGAUCAAUGACUCAACAAAGAGGCAAAAUGGAGAUAACAAAUGCUUUCUCUGUUGGCACAGUGGUAGUUUGCGGAGAACAAUAUCCUGGUUUGAACUCUCACCCUGAACCGUAAGAUUAAGUUGUUUUGCACAGCAGAUUUUUGGUGUUUCUUAAGAGUGUGCUAUUUUCUGCUAAACAAAACUAUCACCAGGAAAAAUGGCAAUAGAGUGAGUGCUAGGUGAUAAUGUCUGAUACAGUAAAUUACAACAUUUUUAAAAAAAGUUCAUUCCCAUGCUUUAAUAUAUUCAUGCAUGACAACCACAUAGUUAAGCUUAGGUUAAAAAUGUGAUUAUGUCGACUCUAUUCUAUAAUCUCCACCUUUAUUUUUCAUUUUGCUACAUGAAGAACCUGCUUUGUACCAAAUACGAUAAAGCCACUAUCAUCACUACAAUUGUACAAGAUGUAGGGGCUUUAAGUUAAAGCAUAGAUUCUCUUUGAUUCUAGUCCAGGACUGUUCCACAGAUAUCAAUGCAAUCUCUCAAUUCAUCAUCCAGACUGCCAUGAUUAAUCAUGUCAAGGCUUUCACUUCGGUCAAGCAACAAUGACACACAGGACUCAAAGCAAUCUCUAUUCAUCAGGCCCAACCUUGCUUAACCAUUUCAGUCAAUUUUUUCUACAUUCUUUUCCAGUUUUUGGGGGGGAGAACACAUCUAUAACAUUCAUUCACUACAAUAGAAAUUUAAUAUUCUGAAAGAGUCACAGGCUGAACAGUUGACCGAGGUUCUUAGAUUAGAAGAAGAUGCCAUCAGGAAAUGGUCACUUGCACAUGCUGCAGAGAAGAUAUUCAGUAUGGUAAUCCAAGGGCAAAGGUCUACUGCCUCAACAGCCACUUUUGUCUGAGUAAUGGAGUGUCUACAAUUGACUGGGGGGACAGUCUGAUAGCACAGAACGUGGCAUGUAGCAAUAACAGGGGAAGUAAUCUAACAUCUGGCACUUUCAACAAUAAAGGUAGAACUCUUAUAAGAAUGCCUGUAGAAAUAAUGUUUGCAUGCUGAUUAGCAGGACUUAAUUAAAAACCUGGAAUUGCAUUGCCUAGCAGUAAUACAGUAUGGUAUAAAUCUCUGGCAUAUUUGGCUUUCUGUAGUUUCCUAUUGUUACGUUAUCAACCAUUAAUGGACAAAAUGUUUAAUUAAAAUUUCCUUUUGCUAUCUAAUCAUUCCUUCCUCUGUGUGAAUAAGACACAUCAUCUACAGCUGAGUUACAAAUUUGGAAUGAAACUUUCUCAACUGGUCAUAAUGACAAACUUGGAUUGAAUUAAAAACAAUAAUUAGUUUAGUAGCUGAUGUAUCAAUUUGGAAGCACUAAUGCGUUCUGUGUCCUUUGUUUUGCAUUCUGGUCGUGAUGCCCAGUUUUACCGUUUGAAUCACUGGCUGUGUCAUGAAGACUCUGUGUAAGAUGGUGUGACACGAAACGCUGGACUUCCCCAUGGUGACAGCAGCAUAAUUUAGGCCUCAGUGAUGAGAGAGGCUGAAAAGUGACAGCAUGACACAGCUCCGGAGAAAGAAAAUGGGGUGUCAUUUUGUUUCUUUGAGCAGCACCAAGUCGUUUUUGUCAUCAGGAUGUACCCCGAGAAGUGCGUUCAUUGCUGUUGCCAUCUCUCACCUGAUGAAGCAUGGCGGUCUGAACAACACAAUCACAGCAGUGGUGUCCUUGGCAUAUAAAGAAGAGCCAUUGAGGAUUAACUGUAGUGACCAAGCUGGGGCAGUACAGCAGCACUUGACCCGUUUGUCGUCAGAUAAAAGUGACUCUUCACUGUCACUUUACCUCCUGAAAUUGAGUGUAAGAGGAGCACAGUCGCCGCCGGCCUUUUUAUACCGACAGCGCCCAUCAAGUGGAUUUUAUUCAUCCAGGUUGACUGAGUGCAUAUAUGCAAACUCUUGUUUGCAAAGACUAGGAGUCUAACAAUAAACUAUUGUACUUCAAAACCUCCCAGUAUUAUUUGUAUUCCCAUUUAAACUGCAUUUAUACUUGGUGUGGCCUCAAUGAAAAAUGGUUUGAAAUCAGCCACAGCUGUCUUUCAUGUGUUAAAUUGUUUUUGCAUUGCCAUUUGCACUCUCCUCAAACAUAUGAGUGAGAUAUUUAGAAACUUGAUGGAAUAAUGACAUUGUUGUUUCCAAAAAACCUUGGCUUUUAUUUUACAGCGCAUGAUUAAAUGUACUUUGUUGAUGGCCAAAUAUAGUUGUGGAA